GACGAACGCUGGCGGCGUGCUUAACACAUGCAAGUCGAACGGAAAGGCCCUGCUUUUGUGGGGUGCUCGAGUGGCGAACGGGUGAGUAACACGUGAGUAACCUGCCCUUGACUUUGGGAUAACUUCAGGAAAUUGGGGCUAAUACCGGAUAGGAGCUCCUGCUGCUUGGUGGGGGUUGGAAAGUUUCGGCGGUUGGGGAUGGACUGGCGGCUUACUAGCCGGUUGGUGGGUUAGUGGCUUACCAAGGCUUCGACGGGUAGCCGGCCUGAGAGGGUGACCGGCCACAUUGGGACUGAGAUACGGCCCAGACUCCUACGGGAGGCAGCAGUGGGGAAUAUUGCACAAUGGGCGGAAGCCUGAUGCAGCAACGCCGCGUGCGGGAUGACGGCCUUCGGGUUGUAAACCGCUUUCGCCUGUGACGAAGCGUGAGUGACGGUAAUGGGUAAAGAAGCACCGGCUAACUACGUG
rnacentral:rRNA from 1 species